rnacentral:lncRNA from 1 species
GGUUCUUCACAUGGUGGAGUCUGGGAGUUAUAAAAGUCCUUCAUAUUUUGCUCGAAGUGUACCUGCUCAUAGAGACAAGGCAGAGAUCAAGUGCAUGGGCCCUGUUGGUGGAAAACACCAACAGAACCAAAAGUGUAUUUGUGCUCUCUAACCCUAAGCAUAGUGAGCAAGACAAAGUUGAUGGAUAAUAAGAUCAUGAGUGUAACAUUUAAAACAUUUGUCAGAUCAGAUCACUCAACCUUAUGGAAAGAUAAUGUAUCUAUAUUUAUGUUGUUUUUUUUUAAAAUAUAUCUUCCAA